UGCUUGAUGAUGACAGUCUCCUGUGAUUGCUUUUGUAAUAGCAAUGUGAACGAAUCAUUUCACCGGCACUGAAAGCA